CUUCUGACCUCAUGAUCCGCCCGCGUCGGCCUCCCAUGGGAUUACUGGCGUGAGCCACCGCGCCCGGUCACUUUUUCUACUUCUGUCUGCUUUUCUCCCUUGUUCCACAGCUUUCCUCUCUCUGCUUCGUGUGUCACCUCUCUCUGAGAUCCCUCUCCGGAUCUAGCCUCUGCCUGCCCCACAGGGAGGGUUUGGCUCUCCUGCUCUCCUAAUCUCUGCUGCCUCAACAGGUCUCACCAUGUCCCCUGCCCGGGGAAGGCUCCGCUAUUACACCUGCAGCUUGGCCAAACCCUGCUACCCUGUUCCCACCAAGUGUCAGGACGAUGAAGCUUGCAGCAUCAGUAUUGGCACCUCAGAUCAGAGUGAGAUCAUCGAGCGAAAAGGCUGCCUCCCAAGGGCCCAGUGCCCUCUGCCGAGCCAUGCCACCUACUGGCUGCGCUCCUACAUUCUGAGGCACUACUGCUGCUAGCAGGACCUGUGCAACAUGGCCGCUUCCCCACGGCAGCUCACCAGCCUCCUUGCCUCCCUGCCCCUCCUUGUGGCCAGCUUUGCCGGGAUCUGCAGCCCCCAAC